AACCUUUACACUGCACGCGAGUGCGAUAAGGGGACUCCAAGUGCGAGGGCAUAUAGUCCUCGCUUUUUGCGACCGUAAGGUGGUCGCGGAAUAAGUGCUGGGCAAGACCGGUGCCAGCCGCCGCGGUAAUACCGGCAGCACAAGUGAUGACCGCUAUUAUUGGGCCUAAAGCGUCCGUAGCUGGCCGUGCAAGUCUAUCGGGAAAUCCGCGCGCUUAACGCGCGGGCGUCCGGUGGAAACUGCAUGGCUUGGGACCGGAAGACCAGAGGGGUACGUCCGGGGUAGGAGUGAAAUCCCGUAAUCCUGGACGGACCACCGGUGGCGAAAGCGCCUCUGGAAGACGGAUCCGACGGUGAGGGACGAAAGCUCGGGUCACGAACCGGAUUAGAUACCCGGGUAGUCCGAGCUGUAAACGAUGUCUGCUAGGUGUGGCACAGGCUACGAGCCUGUGCUGUGCCGUAGGGAAGCCGUGAAGCAGACCGCCUGGGAAGUACGUCCGCAAGGAUGAAACUUAAAGGAAUUGGCGGGGGAGCAC
rnacentral:rRNA from 1 species